UGGGGAAUAUUGGACAAUGGGCGCAAGCCUGAUCCAGCCAUGCCGCGUGAGUGAUGAAGGCCCUAGGGUUGUAAAGCUCUUUCACCGGUGAAGAUAAUGACGGUAACCGGAGAAGAAGCCCCGGCUAACUUCGUGCCAGCAGCCGCGGUAAUACGAAGGGGGCUAGCGUUGUUCGGAUUUACUGGGCGUAAAGCGCACGUAGGCGGACUAUUAAGUCAGGGGUGAAAUCCCGGGGCUCAACCCCGGAACUGCCUUUGAUACUGGUAGUCUUGAGUUCGAGAGAGGUGAGUGGAAUUCCGAGUGUAGAGGUGAAAUUCGUAGAUAUUCGGAGGAACACCAGUGGCGAAGGCGGCUCACUGGCUCGAUACUGACGCUUAGGUGCGAAAGCGUGGGGAGCAAACAGG
rnacentral:rRNA from 1 species